CCUGCCCCACCUCCGCCGGGCUCCACAGCCGCCGGGAGCCCAGGGCCGAGACGGGAGGAGGGCACCCACCUGGUCGGUGUCACAUGCUGCUUCGGCCCCAGCGUCCCCUCCAGGUCCCGGCGCCGGCCGCAGUCCCCAGAGCCGUCCCCAGCGCAGGCCCGGCCGCCCCACCCGCGGCCCGCCCCUGGCCGCCCGACGGGAGGGAGGGAUCGGGUUCUCCUAGGAAGUUUCAGUAUGCAUUCUUAGAAACCAGAUAUACAAAGACAAGAUCUCUGCUUUCAAGAAGCUCUCAAUCUGAUUGAGGAGAGAAACAGGUAGCAAAUAAUGGCAGCAGAGCAUGGUCAUUCAACAUUUAUUCAACCAAAAAUACUAAGUCAGCUCUAUACAAACUAAUGGAAGGAUACAGCUAUGCAAAUAUAGAACACUAAAGUGUUACAUGACAGAUGUAUGAGUCUUGGAUAUGUCUUUAUCAGCAGUAUGAAAACUGACUAAUACAGUAAAUUGGUACCAGUGGAGUGGGGCGCUGCUGAAAAGAUACCUGAAAAUGUGGAAGCGACUUUGGAACUGGGUAACAGGCAGAGGUUGAAACAGUUUGGAGGGCUCAGAAGAAGACAAGAAAAUGUGGGAAAGUUUGGAACUUCCUAAAGACUUGUUGAAUGGCUUUGACAAAAAUGCUGAUACUGCUAUGGACAAUAAGGUCCAGGCUGAGGUGGUCUCAGAUGGAGAUGAGGAACUUGUAGGGAACUGGAACAAAGAUGACUGUUGUUAUGUUUUAGCAAAGAGACUGGUGGCAUUUUGCCCCUACCAUAGAGAUUUGUGGAACUUUGAUCUUGAGAGAGGUGAUUUAGGGUAUCUGGCUGAAGAAAUUUCUAAGCAGCAAAGCAUUCAAGAGGUGAUUUGGGUGCUGUUAAAAGCAUUUCAUUUUAAAAGGGAAACAGCAUAAAAAUUUGGAAAAUUUGCAGCCAGUUGAUGCAGCAGAAGAGAGAAACCUGUUUUUUGAGGAGAAAUUCAAGCUGGCUGCAGAAAUUUGCAUAAGUUACAGGGAGCUGAAUGUUAAUCUCCAAGACAAUGGGGAAAAUGUCUCCAGGGCAUGUCACAGGUCUUCAUGGCAGCCCCUCCCAUCACAGACCCUGAAGACUAGGAGGAAAAAAUGGUUUUGUGGGCCAGGCCCAGGGUCCCCAUGCUGUGUGCAGCCUAGGGACUUGGUGCCCUGCAUCCCAGCUGCUCCAGCCAUUGCUAAAAGGGCCGAGGUACAGCUCUGCCCGUGGUUUCAGAGGGUGCAAGCCCCAAACCUUGGCAGCUUCCAUGUGGUGUUGAGCCUGCAGGUGCAUGGAAGUCAAGAAUUGAGGUUUGGGAACCUCCAUCUAGAUUUCAGAAGAUGUAUGGAAUCACCUGGAUGCUCAGGCAAAAGUUUGCUCCAGGGGCAGAGCCUUCAUGGAGAACCUCUGCUAGGGCAGUGUGAAGGGAAAUGUGGGGUUGGAGCCCCCACACAGAAUCCCUACUGGGGCACCACCUAGUGGAGCUGUGCAAAGAAGGCCACCGUCCUUCAGACCCCAGAAUGGUAGAUCCACCGACAGCUUGUACCGUGCACCUGGAAAAGCCACAGACCCUAAACGCCAGCCCGUGAAAGCAGCCAGGAGUGGGGACUAUACCCUGUGAAGCCACAGGGGCAGAGCUGCCCAAGACUAAGGGAACCUACCUCUUGCAUCAUUGUGACCUGGAUGUGAGACAUGGAGUCAGAGGAGAUCAUUUUGGAACGUUAUAAUUUGACUGCCUCGCUGGAUUUUGGACUUGCAUGGGGCUUGUAACGCCUUUGUUGUGGGCACUUUCUCCCAUUUGGAAUGGCUGUAUUUACCCAUUACCUGUAUCCCCAUUGUAUGUAGGAAGUAACUAGCUUGCUUUUGAUUUUACAGGAUCAUGGGUAGAAGGGACUUGCCUUGUUUCAGAUGAGACUUUGGACUACGGACUUUUGGGUUAAUGCUGAGAUGAGUUAAGACUUUGGGGGACUGUUUGGAAGGCAUGAUUGGUUUUGAAAUGUGAGAACAUGAGAUUUGGAGGGGCCAGGGGCAGAAUGAUAUGGUUUGGCUGUGCCCCCACCCAAAUCUCAACUUGAAUUGUUAUCUCCCAGAAUUCCCAGGUGUUGUGGGAGGGACCCAGGGGGAGGUAAUUGAAUCAUGGGGGCCGGUCUUUCCCAUGCUAUUUUUGUGAUAGUGAAUAAGUCUCAGGAGAUCUGAUGGGUUUAUCAGGAGUUUCUGCUUUUGUUUCUCUCUCAUUGUCUCUUGCCGCUGCCAUAUAAGAAGUACCUUUUGCCUCCCACUGUGAUUCUGAGGCCUCCCCAGCCAUGUGCAACUGUAAGUCCAAUGAAACCUCUUUUUCUCCUCAGUUUUGGGUAUGUCUUUAUCAGCAGCGUGAAAAUGGACUAAUACGAUCACCCUCUUCUUUGUUCUCCUUUCUAUUUCAUCUCUAAUUUUUUUUGGCAUUUGGAGGGUGCUAUACAUUGCAAAAGUUGGGGACUCACUAAUUCCACUGCUCACUGUAUAUCAAGGUAAUCUGUCAGGGGUUUGGUUUUAUAUAAGAAACAAAUGAGUCCCCAGAACAUACAAGUUAAGAUUAUUCAAUCAAGGGAGGCAGUCAUUACCCUUUAACCUCUGAAAGAAAACUGCAAGUAGGCAUCAAACUAACCCUGAGAUGGGAGAGAGUAGAAGUUCCCACACCCAGUGAAUUGUAGGACAUUAGGUAAUUAUUGGUGGGAAGUAAAUUUGAGUGGGGAACUGAAUUUCAACUGACUUUUAUCCUUGAAGAUGGUGCUUCUAUUUUCUCAAAUUAGAAGGUUAUGAAAAUUGCAUCUGAACAACAAGUUGUAUUAGCAUAAGUUCUAGAAGAAACUGAGAAAGCAAGGCUAGUCUGAGGAAAAUUUAUACCGCUCACAUUUCCCUUCUGAAUUGGAGAAUAGAAUUGAAUAGCAAAAUUGUAACCUACCUUUCAAAGAUGCAUUUUAUAGUGAAGUAUAUUUUGUGAACUUUUAUAUCUUCUAUUCUUAUUUUUCUAUUGCCCUAUUUUAAAAUCUAUCUUGAAUUUAUUAAAUGUAUAUGUCUCUGUUUAUAUAUUUAUGAGUAAUAUGGUAGUCUUUUUGGUAUCAGAUGAGAACCCAACACACACAAAUACAUACUGACACAUACAAAGAUGUUUAUACUGCCUCUUACAUCUGUCGGAAGAGAGAGGGUUCCAAGAAUUCCUGUGAUGAGGGCUUAAAGCCAAAUAUUUUUGUUAUCAUUUUAUACAUAUAUAUUUUAUUUUUUUUCUAUUUGGGAGAAGCUAGAAAACACACAUUACUUUUUUUUGUAUCUUUUCUGUUUUAGACUAAAAUCUGCUGCUAUUCAAAGAAUAAAUUGUAUCUUUGUGUAUUCUGAUAGACAUAAUAAGUAAGUUGUGUAAGUUAUAAGUAUGUAUAAGUAAGUUGUAUCUUUGUGUACUCUUCUUCUGAUAGACAUAAUAAUAUAAGACAAACCCAAUAACAGCAUGCUGUUUAUUUUGAACACAGAAAUGUCUUUAGUUCAGCCUAACUCUGUCCUUCCUUUUUGCUGAUAGAAAGUCUUCGGCCUCAUCCCUCGUCUCACGUCCUUGAUGCCUAUUUCUUGAGGUGUUCCAUCCACUGUCAAAGUCCCCAGUCAGUGAUUGUUCUUAGGUCCAAGUAGUGGCCAACCGGGGCCAGCAUCCUCCCAGUCACCCAGGCUGCCAACCAAGGUGGCUGAAUACUUGCUUGAGAUUGCCAGCAUUUGUGAUAUCAUCACUGUGCAUAAUUUCAAGGUAGGAUCCUCAUUGCUGUGGGCUAUAAAAUGGACUCUGCCCACCACACCCCCCCGCCAACACUUGGCACACUUAGAUGGAAAUGGAAAAAUGGUAUUCUAAAACAUUCUGUUGCAUUAUUAUUUGUACCCCUAGGCAGGUGUGAUUCAUGUAGGACAGAGUGGCAAGGAAAGGCUCUAUUGAAGGGGUGAGCCUUGAGCUGCCCCUGGGUGGAAGUGUGGGUGGCCAUGGGAGCUGCAUUUCCAUGGUGGUGGGAGCUCUGGGCCACUCCUCAAUCCCAUGUCUGACACACACACACACACACACACACACACACCCACUCCUGAUAGUAGGAAGAGCAGUAUUUUGGACAAAGAGGAGGCUGAAGGCUGCAUGACGCCUUGAGACAUCAACUCAGGUAUGUGUGGAGGUGGCGGAAAGUAUUAUUACCUGGAACAAUCUUCACCCUUUAGGCCUAAAUCAACCUCCACCUCCACC
rnacentral:lncRNA from 10 species